GGAAUUUCAAAUGAAAGAUGAACAAGGGGGCUUUGAUGGCAAGGCCUCAGGGACGCGCGCGCGCCCUCGCCACCCUUUUCCUUUCCACCCACAGACUCUCAGCACGUUGAGGUGGCGGGCCGGGCGGCAGCUUCUCCCCUCCUUCUCGCCCGCGGGCGGCCGGGGCAGCCUCGCCACCCGGCGCGCGCGGGCCCUUUAAGAGCUACACCAGCCGAGAUGCAGUUUGACAUCAGCCGGCCGGCGAGGGCGCGCCUGGAGCCGGAGCACGUGCCAGGAUGUUUUAUUGCCGCCGCGGCUGCGGCCGGGCCGGGAGGAUGUGUGUGUGCGUGCGUGUGUGAGUGUGUGUGCGCGCGCCCCAGGGGCAGGGAGGCGGGGGGCGGCGGCGGGCGGCGGAGCGCGGGGGCUGGUUCUCGGUCCCCGGGAGAAGCCAAGAAGCCUGCCAGAGCCGAGGUAGCUGCCCUGCCAAGAGCUAUCCUGGGAGAGCUAUUGAAAGAGCCUUGAAGCAGAUGGGCCUGGAGCUCCCCACCUUCUGGUUUGCACUAGGUUGUGUGCUAAUAUGGCGAUGCGACCACGGGACUUUGCACCUGCCAAGCAUGGCAGAGAACAUCCAUCUCCCUUGGACAUGUGAAUGCAAAGAAAGCAAGUGCUGUAAUCUGAAAUCCAGGCCAUUGUUUAAUGGCAGAAGGAAGACCCCAAAGGAAGGAGCUUUUUCCCACCCCAAACACUCGCCCCUUUGGUCUUGAAUUUGACCGUGUUCUUUUAUGGAAAACAACAACAAAACAAAACAAAACAAAAACACACAAAACUUUUUUUCCGAAUAGCUCAAAGUCAAGGUUUGCUGUUUGUUAUUUCCUUAAAAAAAGUCAAGAGAGAAAAGAAAAUUGGGUCCCUAGCCUGAAUGUUCUCCUAUGUGCCUAUUUAAUGAUUAAUAACACCUUGUGGGCUAUUGUUUGAUGUGGCCUCUGCUGGUUUGAACAGGAGAAUACUGAUUCACUCUCAAGGCAUUUAUGAAUCACAAGUGUUUACCCUGAGACAAUAAAUGAAAGGGGGAGAUUGAAAAAAAAACACCCAAAUAUGCUGAGUUCUUUGAGCAAAAACUGGAGGUAAUAGUCUUUGAUACCCUGUGUGGGGCCCACUGUUUUCUUUCACAGAAUAAAGAUGGUGUAGAAUGACCAAGAGGGCACUUUUGAGUUUUAUACAUUUUUUUUUCACUUACUGAUAGGGUUGAAGCAACUUUCCCCCUUAUUUUCUUCCUUCUUCCUUCCUUCCUUCCUUCCUUCCUUCCUUCCUUCCUUCCUUCCUUCCUUCCUCCCUUCUUUCUGCCCCCAAAUCUAGGGUCCGGUGAAAACAGACUGUUAAAUUUGCCCCUGAUGACCCUUUAAAUUUUUUUAAAUUUUGAAAUGAUUUUAUUUUUUUUUUACGUGUUUAGUUAUUUAUUUUGAGAGAAAGAGAGCUAGAGAGUGAGCCAGGAAGAGGCAGAGAGAGAGGGAGAGAGAG